rnacentral:rRNA from 1 species
AAUCCUGGCUCAGGACGAACGCUGGCGGCGCGCCUAACACAUGCAAGUCGAACGAGAGAGAAGGAGCUUGCUUCUUCGAUCGAGUGGCGAACGGGUGAGUAACGCGUGAGGAACCUGCCUCAAAGAGGGGGACAAUAGUUGGAAACGACUGCUAAUACCGCAUAAGCCCACGGGUCGGCAUCGACCUGAGGGAAAAGGAGCAAUCCGCUUUGAGAUGGCCUCGCGUCCGAUUAGCUAGUUGGUG